UUUCCGUAGGUGAACCUGCGGAAGGAUCAUUGUCGAAACCUGCAACAGCAGAACGACCCGCGAACACGUUUUAAACAACCUUGGGCGGGCGAGAGGAGCUCGCUCCUCGGACCUUCCCUCACCCUCCAGGAGAAAUCUUGGCGGGCUAACGAACCCCGGCGCGAUCCGCGCCAAGGAACAAUAAAAGAUUAGCGCGUUCCUCGUGCGGAGACCCGGAGACGGUGUUCCCCGCUCGAGUUGCGUGUUCUUCAAAAUGUCUAAACGACUCUCGGCAACGGAUAUCUCGGCUCUC
rnacentral:misc_RNA from 1 species